AUUAAAUUAAAGUCAAAAUGUUUAGCCGUGAAAGUUUUUUUCCUCUUAUUUUUCGACUGAUUUGCAUAAGCAUCGAAAUCAUCACCGGGGAUGGCUGACAGGCUGACUGGCUGGCGGAAAAGCAUGCGUUACGGAACACUCUGUCCACCAAUUAGAGACGAAGCUUCAUAGCUUUGAUGGCUAUCGCUGGCGUUGGCGCUGGCGCUGGCGCUGGCGUUGCAGUUAACGGUGAUGUUGAUGUACCGUACCAAAGCAGCAACACCAACAGUAACAAAAGCAGUGAAAGACUGAUUGAACAGCGAAUCAAUUGGCAGCACCAUUUCACAUUGUUUGCUGACAUCUUUUUUCCACCUGGCCCUGGCUCGUAUUUUGCCAAUCAAUUGCCACAUUGCGGUGGUCAUGCAAAAAGAAUGCCGUAUCUGUCCAUGCAUCGGAGGGCCAAC
rnacentral:sRNA from 1 species